CACGUCAGGCUUAAGGAGCACUAUUCUGAUUAGGAAACGAUCAGUGCCAUAAGAGAAAUUGUCCAUAUGCCACAGAUCAUUAGCUGACUAUCCCUGAGCGCAUAAAUGUGCCAAGACAUGUCUCUGAAUCCAUCACUCUUACUUUCUCAGUGAUCACCUCUCAGGUCUCUGAAGUUCUCAUACCUUCCGGCCUUUGUGUGUGGAAACACACUGGAGCAUAUGGUAUGAGAAAGCUCAUGGGAUACACACAAAGGAAUCACUUGAUCCAUGUCUUUGUCAAACCUACAAACACUGUUAUGUUACCUCUGACAGAGAUAUCAGGUGCUUGCAGCUGAUGAGUGUCACAUUUCUGCCAUGCGCUUUAGACCACAAUGCUUUUCCCUGUCAAGUAACUGCAUCAAAAUGAUAAACACGCUUCAUCUGUUGGUAACAUUCACACAAGAUAAAUGCUAUGUCAUUGUAGCCAAUGGGAAAAUAGUUUGUUUUCUUUUUCAGAACAACGGAGCAGUGAUACAUACCACACAGAGAAUCCUAAUAUUAUUUUUUUGAAGAUUAACUAGUUGUGCCAUAAAUGGAAGAGCCAAAUUUAAACCAAUCAUCAUGCAUUUGGGAUGAGGAAGGUGUCCCAGAUUCUGUCCCUAUAACCGACAGAUUAAUCAGUCAUGUUAUUUGAACCCUUACAGGAUUUAGAGAACAGUUUUUAAUCCAAUGUACUUCAAGGAGGGAACGGUAACUGAGAAACACAAUGAAAAACAUCUCGCACAAAAGAGGACAGAGAUUAAGAGAAUUUGACAUGGUCAUCUAAAAAGCCUGCUGAAACAAACAAAAAAAAAAAAAAAAAAAAAGAGUAUUUGUCAUUAAUGUGCAUUAUCACACAAGCCUCCAUUACCUACACAUAUUGGAAUAUGGGCUGCAGGUGAACCAUUAAUGUCUACUUCAGUGUAAAACAUCAUGAAGUUAAGGGGAAAUAAAGGAGAACUUAUAAGCACAAAGCAGUGUCACAGAAUCUGACUGUAGCUACACUCAACUAUAUAAUCAUCCAACUGUGGAUGCAAACAGGGACAACUCUGAAAAAAAAAAAAAAUUCAAUAACCAGAUUGAAAAAAAUAAUAGUUUACGGGUCACAAACUAAAAUUCAAUCAUUGUAUUGAGAGCGGCUGCUCAUUCUCCUGUGAAUCCAUGUUGAACUUAUAAUGAAAUUCCUAAAAAUCACAGAGUGUGUCGUUGCCUUCACCGAGACGAGAUUAAGAGAUUGUGUGACUGAAGUAAAAUUAAUGAUAUUCCUAAAGGAUGGCAGUAUAAUAAUCAGCACAAAAGCAGUAAAAUGCUAACUGAGUCAACAUUGAAAUAUACUUUUAAUAUAGUGUAGGUAAUGACUUUACACUACAGUGCAAAUUUCUAGAACCAUGUUUACAGACUGCUUUACUCAAACAGCUUUUUCAUAACAAGCACAUUUUAAUACAGCUGUGUAAAAUUCAUAGUUUCCUUUGGUUUUUUGAAAACUUGAGGUGUUGAGCUCUUCACUGUCUCACUGUCUUGGAUGUGGGCCUAAGCUAAUUUGGAGAACAACCUACUGAAGUAGAAGGGUCUGUUGAUGCAGCUCAUAUGGACAUCAGUCUAGAACAUCUCCAUUCAAGCUAAUGUUUCUGUUUUGUUUACAUCAACAGCAAACAACAACAAAAUGAUAACAAUUAUAACAAUAUUUAUUUAAUCUCUUCCUUAGAAUUUGAAGGAUGUGAUCAGUUGUGAUUAUUAUGUCACAGUGAUACUCACAGACAAGGAAAAAAAAAAUCACUUUUUAAUCCAAGCUUCCUCUACUU
ensembl:lncRNA